AAUCAAUUGGCUUAUAAUUGAAGUCUGGAAUGAAAGGGAAAUUGGGGUUAGACUGUCUUAUGUAGAUACCUAGAAGUUACUAAAUAGGUGAAAAUUCCUAUACGGGGAAAAAAGACGAGAAGACCCUAGAAAUUUUAAUAAUAAACCACUUUAUUUUUGUUGGGGCGACAGGGUAACAGAAAACUUACCUCCUAUAUAGGCAGUUUAUAAACUGUGCAAUCAAAUUACUCUAGGGAUAACAGCAUAAUAUUUUAAAGAUUGUGACCUCGAUGUUGGACUAGGGAGUAUAAUACUUAAAAGGUAUUAUAAUUGGCU
rnacentral:rRNA from 1 species